rnacentral:miRNA from 1 species
UCACUACCUGACAAUACAAUAU